AACCUCACUAAUGCCUUGCAUCAUCUAUAUUAGAUAUAUAACAACAGGCGGGUGGCGGAGGGGUUGUGGUUUUGAUAAAAAGUUGGUUAGGGUGAUUGGCGGGUGGAUGACGACUUUUGUGAUGUGGUUGCGGAUGAAAUAAUUGCCUAUCCGCGCAUCUCUAAUGGGCGGGGCUUUUUACGAUUAUUAACCCCUUAGUAACAAAAACAAUAGCCACCAAGAUAAAGUGUUUGUUUUCUACCGAGUUACCCACUGUGGACAGACCAAGACAAGAAAUACAGGUUCAACCGGAACAGGAAACCACUUUUUGGCAGGCACUCCCAUUUUGGCACAACACCUGCUCCUGACGGAAGCCGGAAGUGACGCUGAGGUCACCUCCAGCCAGUGUUUCAUCCUCGGCAAGGGGCGGGACUCGUGGCGCACCUGUUCUCAAUUAACCCGGCAGUAUUUAGGCUCGUCACUGACACCUUGGCCUCGAACUCCUCUCGUGCAUGCACCUGCUUCACCAGUCCCGCGUCGGCGCCGGGCUCGCACAGAAAGGCGAGUAAAAGGCACAGAGGUCGGCAGCAGUAAAAAGAAGCAGAGUAAGGCGUAAGACCCACAAUCAGUCCGUCUUCUGGCGAGUCCUCGUGUCCUCCCAGGAAAUCGAAGCCUCCUGAGACAUUCUGAGCAGAGCGACGCCGACGCACACCGUGGUGACGCCACAAAGUACGGCGAGGCCGUCGACUGCCGUCGGCGCCGCCCACUCCCUGAAGACCAGCGCCGACGCCAGCGGGACGGCACAAGUGAAGGCCGCAAAGUAAACGGCCUCGAAGGCGUCGCAGCGGAAAGACUCCAGCGCCUUGUUGAUGUAGUAAAACUGGAGCAGGACGCCGGUGCCCAGCACUCCCAAGAGCCCCAGGAAAAGGGCAAGGGCGUGGCUGUCACGCGGUUCCUCGCCAAAGACGUGGCGUGCCGCCAGGCCGAGUCCUUUGCUGCUGGGCACGGUGAAGACGCCUAGCAGGGAGCAUAUGGACACGUAGACCGCCAUGUUGGAGUGGCCGUACCGAGGAACCAUCCAUCCCAUCAGCACCGCCAGCAUCAGCACCACCGCCAGCAGGAAGCUCAGCAAGACUGCAAACAAUGACAUGUUUACACCAAGAACUGAACCAUGUCCUGAAAGGUCAACAAGACUGCAAACAAUGACAUUUUUACACCAAGAACUGAACCAUGUCCUGAAAGGUCAACAAAAUAGGCAAAGUGAUGUGCACGCCAGCUUUCUGAGGGAUCACUUGUGCACGCCAGUUUUCCGAGACUCUGUAUUUAGUUAGCGCAGGCAGCAUGAAGCAGGGCUUUUAUUGUGAAGAUAGGAAAUGUGCAGUCGGCCUUAAGAGUUUUGACGGAAGGUACGGCGCGAGAGUCUGUUGAAAUAAAAAGUGUUUCUCGC